rnacentral:lncRNA from 13 species
AUCAAAAUAUCACACUGUAUUUCAUAUGUAUAAUUAUAUGUCAAUUAAAAAUACUAAAAGCAAAAAGAUUAAAAAGUUAGAGAUUAUUAGAUUGGAUAAAAAAGCAAAACUCAACUAUAUGUUUCCCACAAAAAUAAAUAUGCAUGAGAAAAACCUUUGUAACCUGGGCUAAUCAAAAAUUUUUUUCUUUUAGGUACAAUAUGAACAGUAUAACCUAUAAAAUAUGAAAUUGAUAGACCACAAAAAUUAAAAACAUAUGCUCUUUAACUAACACUGUUGUGAGAAUGAAAAGACAAACCAACACUAGUUUUGUAAAUUAUAAAAUCAAAUAAAGACUUUAUAUCCAGAAUAUAGAAGGAAUUAUGAAAACUCAACAAGAGAACAACCUAAUAGAAAAGUAGACAGAAAAUUAGAACAGAAACUUCAACAAGGAAGAUAUAUGAAUGACAAAGAAGCACAUGAAAAGAUGCUCAACAUCAUUUGUCAUUAGGGAAAUGCAAAUUAAAACUACAAGGUACCACUACACAUCUAUUAGGAUGAAUACAAUUAAAAAGUCUAACUAAACUAAGGAUUUGGAGAAAGUGUAAUUCUCAUACACUGUUGCUGAGAAUGUAAAGUGAUACUACUUUAGAAUACAAACAGUUUGACAGUUUUCUGAAAAGUUAAAUAUAUAGUUAAUAUAUGAUCCACUCUCGGUUUUUACCAAAGAUCAAUGAAAGUCUAUGUCCACGCAGACUUGUAACAGUUUCUUUUUUUUCUUUUUCUGUUUUUUUUUUUUUUUUUGAGAGGAGUCUUGCUCUGUGGCUCAGGCUGAAGUGCAGUGACUUGAUCUUGGUUCACUGCCACCUCCGCCUCCUGGUUUCAAGUGAUUCUCCUGCCUCAGCCUCCUGAGUAGCUAGGAUUACAGGUAUGUGCCACCACGCCUGGCUAAUUUUUGUAUUGUUAGGAGAGAUGGGGUUUUACCAUGUUGGCUAGGCUUGUCUCCAACUCCUAAGCUCGUGAUUCCCGCAAAAGCCCAGGGUAAAAAUAACACAAAAAUCCACAGACAGUAACUGAAUAAACACACUGUAGCAAAUCCA